rnacentral:rRNA from 1 species
GACGAACGCUGGCGGCGUGCCUAAUACAUGCAAGUAGAACGCAGUUGCGAACGGGUGAGUAACACGUAGGUAACUGCCUCAUAGCAGGGGAUAAAUAUUGGAAACGAUAGCUAAAACCGCAUACUGUUCGCUGGACCUGCGUUGUAUUAGCUAGUGGGUGAGGUAAAGGCUCACCAAGGGGACGAUACAUAGCCUACCUGAGAGGGAAAACGGGCACAAUGGGAAUGGGACACGGCCCAGAAUCCCACGGGGGGCAGCAGUAGGGAAUCUUCGGACAUGGGGGGAAGUCUUGCCGAGCACCGGCGGGGGAGUGGAAAAGGGUUUCCGAGCGGAAAGCUCUUUUGUUAGAGGAGCGGUACCUAACCAGAAAGGAACGGCUAACUACGUGCCAGCAGCCGCGGUAAUAC